AGUUUGAUCAUGGCUCAGAUUGAACGCUGGCGGCAGGCCUAACACAUGCAAGUCGAGCGGUAACAGGAAGUAGCUUGCUACUUCGCUGACGAGCGGCGGACGGGUGAGUAAUGCCUGGGAAUAUGCCUUGAUGUGGGGGAUAACUAUUGGAAACGAUAGCUAAUACCGCAUAAUGCCUACGGGCCAAAGAGGGGGAUCUUCGGACCUCUCGCGUCAAGAUUAGCCCAGGUGGGAUUAGCUAGUUGGUGGGGUAAAGGCUCACCAAGGCGACGAUCCCUAGCUGGUCUGAGAGGAUGAUCAGCCACACUGGAACUGAGACACGGUCCAGACUCCUACGGGAGGCAGCAGUGGGGAAUAUUGCACAAUGGGGGAAACCCUGAUGCAGCCAUGCCGCGUGUAUGAAGAAGGCCUUCGGGUUGUAAAGUACUUUCAGCAGUGAGGAAGGUGGUAGUGU
rnacentral:rRNA from 1 species